rnacentral:lncRNA from 1 species
UCAUUCGAGGUUGCGGAGCAGAGGCCAGUAUAGCAGACCUUGACGCAACCAUGGUUCCUGCACCACAAAAAGUCGGUAACUCUGAAAUCUUUAUCUCAUUUUUUUUUUUGAAAAUCUGAAAUGAUCGUUUAUUUGUUCGAAACACAAGUCAGUUUAUUACCAUAGAAGUCAUUAUUAAGAGGUUUUAUAUGCAUAAAAGCUGUGAAGUUAUGUGGUAUGUUUGCAUAAAUCUUGAAGAAAAUAAGAAGUCAAUUGCUUGCCUAUGUGAAUAAAUUAGUUUACUGAUAUUAGGUCUUUGCGUUGAUUACCUUUGUUCAUGUAUUCAUGAUAUGAUUAUAAGUUAUUAUUUUCUUGUUCCAAUGUUGCAGGAAGCAUAUUGACUGAAAGACGUUGAUUACCUUUGUUCAUGUAUUCAUGACAUGAUUAUAAGUUAUUAUUUUCUAGUUCCAAUGUUGCAGGAAGCAUAUUGACUG